rnacentral:rRNA from 1 species
GUGGGGAAUAUUGGACAAUGGGCGAAAGCCUGAUCCAGCCAUGCCGCGUGUGUGAAGAAGGUCUUCGGAUUGUAAAGCACUUUAAGUUGGGAGGAAGGGCAGUAAGUUAAUACCUUGCUGUUUUGACGUUACCGACAGAAUAAGCACCGGCUAACUUCGUGCCAGCAGCCGCGGUAAUACGAAGGGUGCAAGCGUUAAUCGGAAUUACUGGGCGUAAAGCGCGCGUAGGUGGUUUUGUAAGUUGGAGGUGAAAUCCCCGGGCUCAACCUGAGAACUGCCUCCAAAACUACUGAGCUAGAGUACGGUAGAGGGUAGUGGAAUUUCCUGUGUAGCGGUGAAAUGCGUAGAUAUAGGAAGGAACACCAGUGGCGAAGGCGACUACCUGGACUGAUACUGACACUGAGGUGCGAAAGCGUGGGGAGCAAACAGGAUUAGAAACCCUUGUAGUCC